rnacentral:rRNA from 1 species
UACGGGGGGGGCAAGCGUUGUUCGGAAUUACUGGGCGUAAAGGGCGCGCAGGCGGCUCAUUUUGUCAGGCGUGAAAGCCCCGGGCUUAACCUGGGAACUGCGCUUGAUACGGGUGGGCUAGAGUUCGGGAGAGGAGAGUGGAAUUCCCAGUGUAGAGGUGAAAUUCGUAGAUAUUGGGAAGAACACCGGUGGCGAAGGCGGCUCUCUGGACCGAUACUGACGCUGAGGCGCGAAAGCGUGGGGAGCAAACAGG